CAUCAGAAACCUGUAUCCCUCUUGACGCUGAAAUAAGUAAAUGAAAAUGAUAUUAUUUUGUUUAGUGAAUCCACCUGUCUGUUAGAAAAUCCCUUUUAAUCAGUCUAAUAUAUGAGCUUUACCUGAAGUUCAUUGGCCGAAUUACGGCAGAUAAACUUACUAAAAGAGCUUGCUACCUGUUAGAGUCUGCAAGCAGGAAGAAGAAAAGAGGGCUAAGGAGGAGAAGAAGAAACAGAGCAAUGUCGAAGUUACUGUAGCAUUCUAUUUUUCAUAAGCAGCUCAUACAAUGGUAUCAAGUAUAUAUAGAUAAAGUAGGAAACACAAAAAUGAGAAGCCGUUGGACACAGACUGAAAAGUGGAUAGCGGCUGAGCAGAGAAUCAACUGCAGGUGGUCCACGCAUAUUCAGAUGGUAGUGGAGAACGAAGGGUGAAGGUGCUAACACUUACCAGAUUGUUGCAAGAAAACAAUGUUGCAUUUUUUAAGCCAUAUAAGCUUAUAUAUAUCUAUUGGUUGAAUUUUAUGAUCUAAUCUUCGUAGCGCCGUUGUUUCAUAA